UACAAGACCAACUUUAAGUGGGGAUUUUAGUCGAGAGGUCCAUGCCACAUAUAAAUGGUAGGCAAGUCAUGGCGUUGGCAGCGUCUGCUGGGAUUGUCAUCACAGACCGGGUCAUCCAGCUGCUACACAUGUACAGUGGAAAUUGAAUUAGGCUCUUCCCUCACUUGUACUGUUGUAAACCAUCAAAUGAACACUCUAGGUAGACAAGACAGUGAGUUCAGUAAUGGCUGGCGAAGAGCAUGCGCACCACAAGUUUGGAGCCAGCCAGGUCAUACGUGUUGCACCUACCACAAUUCCAUUUCUUUGGUCUUCUGUGUUGAGCCUGUUUCAAAAUGUGCCUGUACAACCACAUGUGUAUAGAA